rnacentral:tRNA from 1 species
GGCGGGGUAGCUCAGUUGGUUAGAGCAGCGGAAUCAUAAUCCGCGUGUCGGGGGUUCAAGUCCCUCUCUCGCUACCA